GCCUGAGCCAGUGCGAGGCAGCCAGGCAAGCCACCGUUGAGAAGAUCGAAGGAGCCAAGGUGGUGAGCGAGAGAGACCAGAACGUGCUCCUGGAUCAGCUGAGCAACAGCCGUGGGAACCAAACAGCGCUUCUGAGGGAGCUGGACAUCAUCAUGGAGAGGCUGAGGGAAACUAAUGUGUCACUGAUGGACAGCCUGCAGUGGAAGGAGGUUUUGAAAGAGAACAUUACCACUUUAAAAAGUGAAAAAGAAAUACACAUGACCCUGCAAAAAAACUUGUCCUCUGUACUGGCAUGGCAGGAAGCCCAUACCGACACACUGCAGGCCAACUUGACAUGGAGCCUUCAUCAGUGGGACUCCUGCAACGCCUUACUCAAUGCUGCUAACAGCCAGCAGGUGGCAGCAGAGAGUCAGAACAAAGCCUGCAAGUCUACUAGCGCUUAUCUGUUCAAACUACUGAAUGCAUGCAGGAUUGAAGACGACAGUGGAUCACAACAGAUUAAUGCUGUUGCCCUGUGAUCACACAACAGGCACACUACUUUUAUUUUUAUUUUGUGUUGUGUGUUUUAUGAGUUCUGAGUUGUUAAAAGGACAUAAUGAAUGUCACAAUACCAAGAGAUUGGUUUGUAGAUUGUAGAUUAUGUAUACGUCCGGAAUUGUAUUGGAGUGUACCACAGGAAAAAUCACUGGAAUCAUACCCA
ensembl:lncRNA